UCCAAUUAAACGUACAUAAAAAAUUUAGAAACAUUGGACACAACAAUGUAGCACCAUUGUGUAGCAGCAAGCAUCACAACAAAAAAGGAACCUCAAGGAAAAUGGACUAAACCAGGGAUAGGCAACUCCGGUCCUGGAGGGCCACUAUCUUGCAGAGUUUAGCUUCAACCCUCAUAAAAACUCAGCUGCCUGUAUCUAUCUAGUAAUCCCGAAAACACUGAUUGUCUUAUUCAGGUGUGUUUAAUUAGGGUUGGAGCUAAACUAUCGAACCAGGGUUUACAACUAUGUUCUUGGCAACUUGCACACCCAUUUAAUUCACUACAAAGUGGACCUUGACAUUGCAGGAUUUGGUUGCUUGGGUGACGGUGGGAUUCUUACACAUUCCUCAUUCUGAAGAUAUUCCCAACACAGCGACUCCAGGAAACGCAGUGGGAUUCUUCCUGCGUCCCUUCAGCUUUUUCGACAAGGACCCCUCACUCGCGUCCCACAGCACGGUCAUCGUGCGACCAGAUGAGAAGGGCCUGCCGAAGAUUCAGAGAUGGACUCCAGAGGUCGUAGGUCACUGUGUCUCAAACAAGCCUUUCUAUUACAAUGGCACAUACACUGGUGUCUAGACAGAGACUGAGCUCAUUUAAUAUUGUGUUAAUGUUUUGUGCUUUAUAUAAAAUCAUAAAAGAGCUGAAAUGUGACAUUAAAUACUGAUGGUAUCAAAUAUUUUAAAAACCUCAUGAACAUCUGACUUAACUGACAACAUAAACAAGAUUGUUACAAACAUUAAGAAUAUUUAAAUGUUUUUUUUUCUCAAUACAAAUCUUACAAAUAAAUGUUGUAUUUCAACAUUAUUAUAUUUUAAUCCAGGAAUCAGAAGAAAAAAUAUAAAAUUAUAUUUUGCAUACAAAUGCAGGAUUUUAAGGCAGUUUUGUACCUGUUAUAUUAUUUUCAUUACAGUUCAGCAGAAUUUCUUCUUGUUUUUAUAAAUUAGUAUGAAUUAAAUUCUGUACAACCAAUAUGACAACGUAGCUAUAGUUACAAUUGUAUUUUACAACUGUAUUUUUUAUAAUACAGUAAGCAACUAAGAAUUGUUAAAUGGAUUCUGCUUAUUUUUAAUGAAAAUAAUGUAAACAUGCAAAUUAAGUCUUAAAAUAAGUAUAAUUUUCCUUGUGUAAAAUGUUGAAAACUUCACCUGUUGAAGUGUUUUUGAAAAUAAACAUGUAAUAAUUGAAUGCUUGUGAAUAAUUAAAUGCAAUGUGAGUAGUGUGUUUA